rnacentral:rRNA from 1 species
GGUCAAGUGAAGAAGCGCAUACGGUGGAUGCCUUGGCAGUCAGAGGCGAUGAAAGACGUGGUAGCCUGCGAAAAGCUUCGGGGAGUCGGCAAACAGACUUUGAUCCGGAGAUCUCUGAAUGGGGGAACCCACCUAGGAUAACCUAGGUAUCUUGUACUGAAUCCAUAGGUGCAAGAGGCGAACCAGGGGAACUGAAACAUCUAAGUACCCUGAGGAAAAGAAAUCAACCGAGAUUCCCUUAGUAGUGGCGAGCGAACGGGGAUUAGCCCUUAAGCUUCAUUGAUUUUAGCGGAACGCUCUGGAAAGUGCGGCCAUAGUGGGUGAUAGCCCCGUACGCGAAAGGAUCUUUGAAGUGAAAUCGAGUAGGACGGAGCACGAGAAACUUUGUCUGAACAUGGGGGGACCAUCCUCCAAGGCUAAAUACUACUGACUGACCGAUAGUGAACCAGUACCGUGAGGGAAAGGCGAAAAGAACCCCGGAGAGGGGAGUGAAAUAGAACCUGAAACCGUAUGCGUACAAGCAGUGGGAGCCUACUUGUUAGGUGACUGCGUACCUUUUGUAUAAUGGGUCAGCGACUUAUAUUCAGUGGCAAGCUUAACCGUAUAGGGUAGGCGUAGCGAAAGCGAGUCUUAAUAGGGCGUUUAGUCGCUGGGUAUAGACCCGAAACCGGGCGAUCUAUCCAUGAGCAGGUUGAAGGUUAGGUAACACUGACUGGAGGACCGAACCCACUCCCGUUGAAAAGGUAGGGGAUGACUUGUGGAUCGGAGUGAAAGGCUAAUCAAGCUCGGAGAUAGCUGGUUCUCCUCGAAAGCUAUUUAGGUAGCGCCUCAUGUAUCACUCUGGGGGGUAGAGCACUGUUUCGGCUAGGGGGUCAUCCCGACUUACCAAACCGAUGCAAACUCCGAAUACCCAGAAGUGCCGAGCAUGGGAGACACACGGCGGGUGCUAACGUCCGUCGUGAAAAGGGAAACAACCCAGACCGCCAGCUAAGGUCCCAAAGUUGUGGUUAAGUGGUAAACGAUGUGGGAAGGCUUAGACAGCUAGGAGGUUGGCUUAGAAGCAGCCAUCCUUUAAAGAAAGCGUAAUAGCUCACUAGUCGAGUCGGCCUGCGCGGAAGAUGUAACGGGGCUCAAACCACACACCGAAGCUGCGGGUGUCACGAAGUGACGCGGUAGAGGAGCGUUCUGUAAGCCUGUGAAGGUGAGUUGAGAAGCUUGCUGGAGGUAUCAGAAGUGCGAAUGCUGACAUGAGUAACGACAAUGGGUGUGAAAAACACCCACGCCGAAAGACCAAGGGUUCCUGCGCAACGUUAAUCGACGCAGGGUUAGUCGGUUCCUAAGGCGAGGCUGAAAAGCGUAGUCGAUGGGAAACAGGUUAAUAUUCCUGUACUUCUGGUUACUGCGAUGGAGGGACGGAGAAGGCUAGGCCAGCUUGGCGUUGGUUGUCCAAGUUUAAGGUGGUAGGCUGAAAUCUUAGGUAAAUCCGGGGUUUCAAGGCCGAGAGCUGAUGACGAGUCGUCUUUUAGAUGACGAAGUGGUUGAUGCCAUGCUUCCAAGAAAAGCUUCUAAGCUUCAGGUAACCAGGAACCGUACCCCAAACCGACACAGGUGGUCGGGUAGAGAAUACCAAGGCGCUUGAGAGAACUCGGGUGAAGGAACUAGGCAAAAUGGCACCGUAACUUCGGGAGAAGGUGCGCCGGCUAGGGUGAAGGAUUUACUCCGUAAGCUCUGGCUGGUCGAAGAUACCAGGCCGCUGCGACUGUUUAUUAAAAACACAGCACUCUGCAAACACGAAAGUGGACGUAUAGGGUGUGACGCCUGCCCGGUGCCGGAAGGUUAAUUGAUGGGGUUAGCGCAAGCGAAGCUCUUGAUCGAAGCCCCGGUAAACGGCGGCCGUAACUAUAACGGUCCUAAGGUAGCGAAAUUCCUUGUCGGGUAAGUUCCGACCUGCACGAAUGGCGUAACGAUGGCGGCGCUGUCUCCACCCGAGACUCAGUGAAAUUGAAAUCGCUGUGAAGAUGCAGUGUAUCCGCGGCUAGACGGAAAGACCCCGUGAACCUUUACUGUAGCUUUGCACUGGACUUUGAGCCUGCUUGUGUAGGAUAGGUGGGAGGCUUUGAAGCGUGGACGCCAGUUCGCGUGGAGCCAUCCUUGAAAUACCACCCUGGCAUGCUUGAGGUUCUAACUCUGGUCCGUGAUCCGGAUCGAGGACAGUGUAUGGUGGGCAGUUUGACUGGGGCGGUCUCCUCCUAAAGAGUAACGGAGGAGUACGAAGGUGCGCUCAGACCGGUCGGAAAUCGGUCGCAGAGUAUAAAGGCAAAAGCGCGCUUGACUGCGAGACAGACACGUCGAGCAGGUACGAAAGUAGGUCUUAGUGAUCCGGUGGUUCUGUAUGGAAGGGCCAUCGCUCAACGGAUAAAAGGUACUCCGGGGAUAACAGGCUGAUACCGCCCAAGAGUUCAUAUCGACGGCGGUGUUUGGCACCUCGAUGUCGGCUCAUCACAUCCUGGGGCUGAAGCCGGUCCCAAGGGUAUGGCUGUUCGCCAUUUAAAGUGGUACGCGAGCUGGGUUUAGAACGUCGUGAGACAGUUCGGUCCCUAUCUGCCGUGGACGUUUGAGAUUUGAGAGGGGCUGCUCCUAGUACGAGAGGACCGGAGUGGACGAACCUCUGGUGUUCCGGUUGUCACGCCAGUGGCAUUGCCGGGUAGCUAUGUUCGGAAAAGAUAACCGCUGAAAGCAUCUAAGCGGGAAACUUGCCUCAAGAUGAGAUCUCACUGGGAACUUGAUUCCCCUGAAGGGCCGUCGAAGACUACGACGUUGAUAGGCUGGGUGUGUAAGCGUUGUGAGGCGUUGAGCUAACCAGUACUAAUUGCCCGUGAGGCUUGACCAU